CCCCUCUCAGGGUCACACCUGGAGAGUUUCCAGUACUCUACCAGACUCAGCUACAGGAGGGAAAGCCAAGCAGAGGCCUAACCAUUCCAUUCCUAGCUUGGCCAGUGGCUAGCGAGCGGAAAGCAGUCUGUUACAGGU
rfam:Ornithorhynchus anatinus chromosome 4, whole genome shotgun sequence.